rnacentral:lncRNA from 1 species
CUUGUGCCACGGUGGCCCAAAUGUCAGUCAACCAGACAUGUCUUCUGAGAGUUCCCAGGAAUGUGGUGAAGAGCAACUGUAAGCGAUAAGAUUGUUCCCAGCGCUAAUAAAACUUUGGAGUUAAUUAACUGAGAAGAAGGUAAAAUGAAAUGUUGUUAUGAGGGCUAAAGUUGUUUUUCUACCUUUUUGAAAAUUAUUUUUUAUCUGUUGAAAUUAUAAUAUAAUUAUCAUCUCUCCUUCUUUUUGCUCCCCUCUCAGAAAUUAACAGCCUUGAGUUGCAGGUGGAAGGUGCAGAAGCCAAAUUAAAAACAGUCUUUUCAGGCUGAGCUCAGGAGCCUGAAUUUCCAUGCUGUAAGUGGCUGGGAUCCACUGGAGGAUUUUAAUUGUGUAAGUUGACAAGAUCAGAUUUGCUAUUCAGAAAGCACACCCUGGCACAGAUCGGUGGGUGGAAUAGAAAGUGGUUGCCCUGGAGACAGGCAGACCCAUUAGGAAGCUCUGACAAAGAUCCAGGAGAGAGAAAAUGAGGAUAGUGGUUGGAGGAAUGAGCAGAUUCAAAGACAUUUUAGAGGUGGAACGGAUGGUCGGGAGACGCUCAUUCAGUGUAAAUGCUGAAGGAAAGGAAGAACCAAGGAGCGCUGUGGUUUCCAGCUUGGAUUUCUAUAUGGAUAGUGAAUAAUUAAUGAAGAUGUGGCGGGCGGGCAUAAUGGGGACUUAAGAGGGAGGUAGUUGUAGAUGGACGUGAUCAAUAUACAUUUGUUUAAAUGUGUAUAACUUUCAAAGAGUAAGAGAAUUAUUAUUUUAAUAGAUCAAGGUAUAAAAUACAAAAAAAAGUCAAAUGGGGGGGGGGGUUUGCUAAUGAAUUCAUAUGUGACCUGUUGAAUUUGAUGUAUCUUUUGGACUUGUAGGUGAAGAAGUCACAUGUGGUGAAUAUAUUAUCAUCAGAAUGCGGAGCAAUGAAAUGUAAACAGAUAGGAAUCGUCACUAAAGCUCCAACUGCAGCCUCCGGGUGCCAUAGCUUUUGCACCAUCCAUUUGCACCAUCUCUGCAGUAAGUCCUAGCUCAAGCCUUACUCCAAAGUACAAAUUAGCAUAGCAGCUCAGUCAACAAUGCCUCCGAGCUUCUGGAAAGAAAGAUGCUCAGUCACCAUAGACCCAGAAUUAAUGAAAAGUCACAGAAAUAAUAGCUCCAUUCUCUACUUGCUUCUGAACCUCAAAUCAGUGGUUGGCAACAAGUUGCUCUCAAUCACUGCCACGAGUCUGGUGAUGCGCUAAGCUCGGGGCAGGAUCUCAAGGGCUUUGAGGUAAAUAAGGUACCCUCUGUGGGCUCUGUUUCAAUUAGAUGCUAGAGCAAUUGUCAUCAUUUUAGAGAACAAAGAUACUGUGAUCGAAAACCGUGAAGGCUGCUGUCUAUGUCAUGCUUGUCCCUAGUUUACAUGCAUUUUCCAGAUAACCAAAUCCAAUAAGCCCUGAGUGCACCCUGAUCCCCUCUCCACUCCCGUGUCAGCUCCAAAUGGAUGGAAGAUGACAGGAAGGAACUAGCUGGGACACAGAGCAAAACUUCUAGAGUUAAUGAGACAGUAACUCUCAUCUUAGUUCCUGAUGACUAGGAGCAUAUGAUUUUCCUGAGGGACCUGUUAAACAAGUCCCAUCUCUCUUGAGUUUCAGCUUACAUAGCCAGAAAAUAAAUCCUUUCCCUGUUCCAAGCAAAGUACUAGGACAUCUUGCUUCUCUUGCCUCUACAGACAGCAAGAUGACUUCAUGGCUUUCUCUUUCACCACAGUCACUGGUGCUCAGUACAAAUGAGACUCACCUUAGAAAGAAAGAAAAGAAAGAAAGAAAGAGAAAAAGAGGGG